GAACGCUGGCGGCGUGCUAAUACAUGCAAGUAGAACGCUGAAGCUUGGUGCUUGCACCGAGCGGAUGAGUUGCGAACGGGUGAGUAACGCGUAGGUAACCUGCCUGGUAGCGGGGGAUAACUAUUGGAAACGAUAGCUAAUACCGCAUAACAGUAGAUAUUGCAUGAUAUCUGCUUGAAAGGGGCAAUUGCUCCACUACCAGAUGGACCUGCGUUGUAUUAGCUAGUUGGUGAGGUAACGGCUCACCAAGGCGACGAUACAUAGCCGACCUGAGAGGGUGAUCGGCCACACUGGGACUGAGACACGGCCCAGACUCCUACGGGAGGCAGCAGUAGGGAAUCUUCGGCAAUGGACGGAAGUCUGACCGAGCAACGCCGCGUGAGUGAAGAAGGUUUUCGGAUCGUAAAGCUCUGUUGUAAGAGAAGAACGAGUGUGAGAGUGGAAAGUUCACACUGUGACGGUAUCUUACCAGAAAGGGACGGCUAACUACGUGCCAGCAGCCGCGGUAAUACGUAGGUCCCGAGCGUUAUCCGGAUUUAUUGGGCGUAAAGCGAGCGCAGGCGGUUAGAUAAGUCUGAAGUUAAAGGCUGUGGCUUAACCAUAGUACGCUUUGGAAACUGUUUAACUUGAGUGCAAGAGGGGAGAGUGGAAUUCCAUGUGUAGCGGUGAAAUGCGUAGAUAUAUGGAGGAACACCGGUGGCGAAAGCGGCUCUCUGGCUUGUAACUGACGCUGAGGCUCGAAAGCGUGGGGCGCAAACAGGAUUAGAUACCCUGGUAGUCCACGCCGUAAACGAUGAGUGCUAGGUGUUGGGUCCUUUCCGGGACUCAGUGCCGCAGCUGACGCAUUAAGCACUCCGCCUGGGGAG
rnacentral:rRNA from 1 species